rnacentral:rRNA from 1 species
UACGAAGGGGGCUAGCGUUGCUCGGAAUCACUGGGCGUAAAGCGCACGUAGGCGGAUUGUUAAGUCAGGGGUGAAAUCCUGGAGCUCAACUCCAGAACUGCCUUUGAUACUGGCGACCUUGAGUCCGGGAGAGGUGAGUGGAACUGCGAGUGUAGAGGUGAAAUUCGUAGAUAUUCGCAAGAACACCAGUGGCGAAGGCGGCUCGCUGGACCGGUUCUGACGCUGAUGCGCGAAAGCGUGGGGAGCAAACGGG